rnacentral:rRNA from 1 species
CUCAGAGUGAACGUUGGCGGCGUGGAUUAGGCAUGCAAGUCGAGCGAUCGUAGCAAUACGGGAGCGGCAAACGGGGUAGGAAUACAUCGGAACGUACCUUUUGGUUGAGAAUAGCGUUGGGAAACUGACGGUAAUACUCAAUAAAGUCGAGAGACCAAAGGUUUACUGCCGGAAGAGCGGCCGAUGCGAUAUUAGGUAGUUGGUGGGGUAAUGGCCUACCAAGCCUGAGAUGUCUAGGGGGUGUGAGAGCAUGGCCCCCACCACUGGGACUGAGAUACUGCCCAGACACCUACGGGUGGCUGCAGUCGAGGAUCUUCGUCAAUGGGCGAAAGCCUGAACGAGCGACGUCGCGUGCGGGAUGAAGGCCCUUGGGUUGUAAACCGCUGUCAGGGGGGAUGAAACCGUAAGGUUGACAGAGCCCCAGAGGAAGCACGGGCUAAGUUCGUG